ACACCUGUAACCAUGCCGAACACAGAAGUUAAG
rnacentral:rRNA from 1 species